GCGGCAACAGCUCAAAUUUGAAAUCUGGCUCCUUUGGGGCCCGAGUUGUAAUUUGUAGAGGGUGCUUUGGCGUUGGCCAUGGUCUAAGUUCCUUGGAACAGGACGUCACAGAGGGUGAGAAUCCCGUACGUGGCCGUUGGCCUUCGCCAUGUAAAGCCCCUUCGACGAGUCGAGUUGUUUGGGAAUGCAGCUCUAAAUGGGAGGUAAAUUUCUUCUAAAGCUAAAUAUUGGCCAGAGACCGAUAGCGCACAAGUAGAGUGAUCGAAAGAUGAAAAGCACUUUGGAAAGAGAGUCAAAAAGCACGUGAAAUUGUUGAAAGGGAAGCGCUUGCAGCCAGACUUGCUCGUAGUCGCUCAUCUAGGCUUCUGCCUGGUGCACUCUUCUGCGGGCAGGCCAGCAUCAGUUCAGGCGGUCGGAUAAAGGUCUUGGGAAUGUGGCUCUCUUCGGGGAGUGUUAUAGCCCCGGAUGCAAUGCGACCAGCCUGGACUGAGGUCCGCGCAUCUGCUAGGAUGCUGGCGUAAUGGCUGUAAGCGGCCCGUCUUGAAACACGGACCAAGGAGUCUAACAUCUAUGCGAGUGUUUGGGUGUCAAGCCCGAGCGCGCAAUGAAAGUGAACGGAGGUGGGAACCCGCAAGGGUGCACCAUCGACCGAUCCUGAUGUCUUCGGAUGGAUUUGAGUAAGAGCAUAGCUGUUGGGACCCGAAAGAUGGUGAACUAUGCCUGAAUAGGGUGAAGCCAGAGGAAACUCUGGUGGAGGCUCGCAGCGGUUCUGACGUGC
rnacentral:rRNA from 1 species